UUAAAGUUUGGCUCUAGCUUACCUUAUAGAUACAUCUUUAUAAAAUACAUGGUUUUUUAAUAACAAGGCAAAGCCUAAGUAACUUGCAUUAAAUUUAAAAUUUGCUUGCAGCUUACCUUAAGGAUUAUUAUUUGAUACAUAAUAACACUAACAUUUGCUAACCCAGUAUUGAAGAUUAAAAAUAAAAGAAAUUUAGAUUUAGUAAUAGAUAUAUAUCCUUGGCUAAGUCUGUGCCAGCAGCUGCGGUUAUACAGACAAGGAGAUUUAUAAAUGAAUCGGUAAAAAGGACAGUUAUAGACUACCAGUAAGUUAAAUCGUUUCAUGGAGAGGUAGAAUUCACACAUGGCUCAUUUUUCAAUUAACUUAGUACCCUAGAAGCUGUGAAAUUGCUAAUUAAAACCAGGAUUAGAUACCCUGCUAUUAGUAUUAUAAAUUUUUAUAACUAACCACCAGGGGAUUACAGAGUUACCUCUGAAACCCAAAGAGCUUGGCGGUACCUCAAACCCUAUUUGGGGAACCUGUUCUAUAAUCGAUAAUCCGCGCAGGACCUCACUCUUUUUACUUAGUCUGUAUACCGUCGUCGUCAGACAACUUUUAAGAAAACAGUAGUUCUCUACAAUAAACUAUUUAUAGACGUCAGAUCAAGGUGCAGCCGAUAGAAGAGAAAGAAAUGGGUUACAAUUUUAUAAUUAAAAUACGGAUUUUUAAUUGAAAAACUUCAAUGAAGGAGGACUUAAAAGUAAUUCUAAUAAGAAUGAAAAAAUGAAUAAGGCUCUGAGGUGUGUACACAUCGCCCGUCGCUCUCGCUGAAAAGUGAGAUAAGUCGUAACAUAGUAAGAGUAAUGGAAGUUGCCCUUAGCUGAA
rnacentral:ncRNA from 1 species